rnacentral:rRNA from 1 species
UACAGAGGGUGCGAGCGUUAAUCGGAAUUAUUGGGCGUAAAGGGCGCGUAGGUGGGCAUUUAAGUUAGAUGUGAAAGGCCUGGGCUCAACCUAGGAAUGUCAUUUAAUACUGGAUGUCUAGAGUACAGUAGAGGGAAGUGGAAUUUCCGGUGUAGCGGUGAAAUGCGUAGAUAUCGGAAGGAACAUCAGUGGCGAAGGCGACUUUCUGGACUGAUACUGACACUGAGGCGCGAAAGCGUGGGUAGCAAACAGG